GAUGCCCCGGGUUUCUGGAGCUGUUGGGGUGAUGUGAAGGAAGAAGCAGCCACUUCAGAGCUUGUUCUUUGUGAAGGGAGAUUGAGAUUCAAGGCAUUUUUUAGGCUACCCAGAGCUGGGCUCCGGGGUGUCCUGGAGCCGCGUGCUGCAGGAGCUGUAGGUGUGCUUUGCUGUCCUCUGUGGCUGGAAGUGCAUCCAUCACUGCAGCUCUGGGGCUUCCUCCCUGGCUGCCUUCCCUCCAGGAGAACAUGAGCUGCUGCUCCCAUGCAAGCAGGGCUUGCUGCCUGCUGGAGAGCAUCCCUGCCUGCUGGGGGUGUCAUUGGCUGUGCUGCUCCCCAGCUUCUUCCCUGGCUCUGCAUAUGGAGAACCUGUUGUCAGGAUUUUCAACAAAUUUUGGAACCAAACUGAGCACCAUUAAUUGUUGUUCUCUGCAUAAACCAACAACAUAAUUUAUCAAUGUGGCAACAACAGUAAUGUUUGUAUUUCCCAGUUUUGAAAUACUUGGAUUGGAAAUGACAACAUUAAAAUUGAAAAUAAUGGUAAUUAUCUCUCUGCAAACGUGUUUUGUUGCUACAGUCGAUAUCAUCUUUGAAACCAGCCAUGAACAGAAGUCACCAUAAGCAACAAUAAACUAAAAAUUCAUUUUCCUAGA